CCCCCAGAUUGACAGCUCAUCUCCAGACCACAGGAAUCUGCUCCCCUAGAAGAAAUGGAUGCUUUCAGGGUCAUUGAAGGGGGCUUUCUUUGUGUCCAGCAUUUUCUCUCUGGACUGUCCCUGUUCUCUCCCCAGAUUUCCUGAAUAAAACGUCUGUGAAGUGAGGAUCCACGCAUUACAGCUGAAGAAAUGGGCUCUUGUCCAUCUAAAUUUACGCUGCAAUAAAAACGUGUGAGUCUUUGAGGUGC